GGUGCCAUUGUAGAAAGGUUAGUACGUGAGGUUUUCAUCCUCAAGGUCAGGGUUCGAGUCCCUGUGGCAUCA
rnacentral:tRNA from 1 species